UUGCAGUGAUGUAGAAUUUCUUCACCUGAAAUGAUUAGAGUAAAAGCGAGUUUUUUAACACUGAGUCAAC
ensembl:snoRNA SNORD36 Small nucleolar RNA SNORD36